GCGAAAUACGAUACGGGACUCAUCCGAGGCCCCGUAAUCGGAAUGAGUACACUCUAAACCCUUUAACGAGGAUCAAUUGGAGGGCAAGUCUGGUGCCAGCAGCCGCGGUAAUUCCAGCUCCAAUAGCGUAUAUUAAAGUUGUUGCGGUUAAAAAGCUCGUAGUCGAAUUUGUGUCCCGCGCCGCCGGUUCAUCGCUCGCGGUGUCAACUGGCGUGUCCGCGGGACGUCCUGCCGGUGGGCUCAGCCCCUACGGGGGCGGCCCAAUCUCAAUCCCACCGCGGUGCUCUUCACUGAGUGUCGAGGCGGGCCGGCACGUUUACUUUGAACAAAUUAGAGUGCUUAAAGCAGGCUAAAAAAUCGCCUGAAUACUGUGUGCAUGGAAUAAUGGAAUAGGACCUCGGUUCUAUUUUGUUGGUUUUCGGAACCCCGAGGUAAUGAUUAAUAGGAACGGAUGGGGGCAUUCGUAUUGCGACGUUAGAGGUGAAAUUCUUGGAUCGUCGCAAGACGGACAGAAGCGAAAGCAUUUGCCAAAAACGCUUUCAUUGAUCAAGAACGAAAGUUAGAGGUUCGAAGGCGAUCAGAUACCGCCCUAGUUCUAACCAUAAACGAUGCCAGCUAGCGAUCCGCCGACGUUCCUCCGAUGACUCGGCGGGCAGCUUUCGGGAAACCAAAGCUUUUGGGUUCCGGGGGAAGUAUGGUUGCAAAGCUGAAACUUAAAGGAAUUGACGGAAGGGCACCACCAGGAGUGGAGCCUGCGGCUUAA
rnacentral:rRNA from 1 species